UGUAUACAAUGGUUAUGUGCUCAUAGUACAAUGUGAUGUCAGCACCAGUAGGUGACCGACUAGACAAAUAACCGCACAGCCAUAGAAUGAGCUGCAAUGAAACCAUAAAAUUACCAACACAUCUGAAAUUACAUGAGGAAUCAGGAAGAGGAAAACGAGCUCCUAUGAAUAAUGAAGAAUAUGCACAGUCAGUAAGAUUAUCUUUUUUAGUGGAAAGAGUCACUAAGUAGACACACUUUGAAGGAAUAUGUGAAGAAGAGUUGGAGAUACUAUCGGAGCAACUAAACAAUGUGAAUCUGUUGAGAAACGCUGUGUUUACGUAGACUAACUGGUGUCAGGUCCUGAGAGAGGUGUACCUGGA